rnacentral:rRNA from 1 species
UACGUAGGGGGCAAGCGUUGUCCGGAAUCAUUGGGCGUAAAGAGCGUGUAGGCGGUCCGGUAAGUCGGCUGUGAAAGUCCAGGGCUCAACCCUGGGAUGCCGGUCGAUACUGCCGGACUAGAGUUCGGAAGAGGCGAGUGGAAUUCCCGGUGUAGCGGUGAAAUGCGCAGAUAUCGGGAGGAACACCUAUGGCGAAGGCAGCUCGCUGGGACGUUACUGACGCUGGAGGCGACGAAAGCGUGGGGAGCAAACAGG